rnacentral:rRNA from 1 species
GACGAACGCUGGCGGCGUGCUUAACACAUGCAAGUCGAGCGGUAAGGCCCUUUCGGGGGGUACACGAGCGGCGAACGGGUGAGUAACACGUGGGUGACCUGCCCUCAGCUCUGGGAUAAGCCUGGGAAACCGGGUCUAAUACCGGAUAUGACUCCAUGACGCAUGUUGUGGGGUGGAAAGCCUUGUGCGGCUGAGGAUGGGCCCGCGGCCUAUCAGCUUGUUGGUGGGGUGAUGGCCUACCAAGGCGACGACGGGUAGCCGGCCUGAGAGGGCGACCGGCCACACUGGGACUGAGACACGGCCCAGACUCCUACGGGAGGCAGCAGUGGGGAAUCUUGCGCAAUGGGCGAAAGCCUGACGCAGCGACGCCGCGUGAGGGAUGACGGCC